rnacentral:rRNA from 1 species
GGUUUACCUUGCGAUGGAAUAGGGGGUCAUGAGAGAGCCAGAGAGGAGAGGAGAGGUGAGUGAGUUGGAGAGAGCGAGGGCCAGAGGGGAGGGAAGGGGGCCGCGUAGGCGGCGCGCGCAGCUACUCGAGGACGGCGUUGGCACGCUGAGGCUGGUAGCUGGUGGCGUAAACAACGUACGUAGCCGUCAACGGCGCGCUGCUUCUAGCGGCGACCAGGACGUUGUCGGAGCCGACCUCCUCCUGCUAUCCAUGUACCGCUUCCUGCGAGUUCAUUCUCCUCGCCGGGGUUACCACCGCCGGAGCUCGUGGCCCUAUUCACGUCCGACCCCUACGUCCUCUCCACGUCGCGCCCCGAGCCCCGAGGCUGCUCGACCCACGCCGCGCUGCCUGCUGCUGCCUGCGUCCCUGAGUAACUAGGCCCGCGACCACGAGUUAGGCCAGGGCAAGGCCGGCCUAGGCGCCGCCACGAGUAGAGGCCGCUCCACCGGCCACUGAGCGCCCGGCUGCCGCCGCGUUCUGGUGCCCUCCUCGAGUAGAGUGCGCUCCAGGACAACCGAAGCCAACGGCCACCGAAUGCGUCCCCACCGCCCCCAGGUCGUAGUACCUCGGAGAAGCUCCCGCUCCUUCGUCUGCCACUGCUAUUGAAACUCCGGCCGCCCCCGUGGCAGAGGCGCAAGCUACCAGCACCACUUGCGGCACCCGAGGUUGCGCCGGCGGCAACCGAGAUAGGGGAUGGCCCGUAAUGAGUUCACUCGACUACUUCAUUCUCCUUAGGUCUCCGCACCCUAAACGUGACACAUAGUAAAAUUCGUACCAACCGGCGUAGCAACCGAGGAGAACUUUCGUGUACAUGAUGAACGUGGUUCUUGUUCUUAAAUUGUCAUCUUUUCGGCAUAGUUGAUAUACAUACGGGGUUACGCUAG